UCGAGAAUCUUCGGCAAUGGACGAAAGUCUGACCGAGCGACGCCGCGUGCGGGACGAAGGCCUUCGGGUUGUAAACCGCUGUCAGAGGGGAGCAAAUUUUGAGCAAUCCUCAGAGGAAGCACAGGCUAAGUUCGUGCCAGCAGCCGCGGUAAUACGAACUGUGCGAACGUUAUUCGGAAUCACUGGGCUUAAAGGGUGCGUAGGCGGCUAUGUAGGUCUGAUGUGAAAUCCCACGGCUCAACCGUGGAACUGCGUUGGAAACCAUAUAGCUUGAGGGAGACAGAGGAAAGCGGAACUGAUGGUGGAGCGGUGAAAUGCGCUGAGAUCAUCAGGAACACCGGUGGCGAAAGCGGCUUUCUGGGUCUCUUCUGACGCUGAGGCACGAAAGCUAGGGGAGCGAACGGGAUUAGAUACCCCCGUAGUCC
rnacentral:rRNA from 1 species